rnacentral:rRNA from 1 species
GGAUUAGAUACCCGGGUAGUCCACGCCGUAAACUAUGGAUGCUAGCUGUUAGAAGUAUCGACCCUUCUAGUAGCGAAGCUAACGCGUUAAGCAUCCCGCCUGUGGAGUACGAGCGCAAGCUUAAAACAUAAAGGAAUUGACGGGGACCCGCACAAGCGGUGGAGCGUGUUGUUUAAUUCGAUGAUAAGCGAAGAACCUUACCCAGGCUUGACAUCCUUGGAAUUUCUGCGAAAGCAGAGAGUGCUUUUAGAACCAAGUGACAGGUGAUGCAUGGCCGUCGUCAGCUCGUGUCGUGAGAUGUUUGGUUAAGUCCAUCAACGAGCGCAACCCUUGUAGUUAGUUGUAUUUUUCUAGCUAGACUGCCCUGGUAACAGGGAGGAAGGAGGGGAUGAUG